rnacentral:rRNA from 1 species
UACGUAGGGUGCGAGCGUUAAUCGGAAUUACUGGGCGUAAAGCGUGCGCAGGCGGUUUUGUAAGCCAGAUGUGAAAUCCCCGGGCUUAACCUGGGAAUGGCAUUUGGGACUGCAAGGCUCGAGUGCGGCAGAGGAGACUGGAAUUCCUGGUGUAGCAGUGAAAUGCGUAGAUAUCAGGAGGAAUACCGAUGGCGAAGGCGGGUCUCUGGGCAAUUCCUGACGCUGAGGCGCGAAAGCGUGGGGAGCAAACGGG